ACAAAGCUGUCCUGUAUUCAUUACAUUUUAAAAGACAAAAAGGAAAACAAAUUCUGUUUGUAGUACAUAUUUUUUGUUUAAAUGUUCCCUGGUGUCAGUGUAAAUCUCCUCUGUGUUGUGUGUCAGAUUGCUCUGUCUCAGGAUGGACAGAUUCAGUAUGUCCCCAUCACCACUGAACAGCAGGUUGUGGCCCCUGAAGAUCUGGAAGCAGUCGCUCAUUCAGCGGUCACUGCUAUUGCAGAUGCAGCAAUGACCCGGUUUACACUGAAGCCACACCUGAACAACUGGAACAACUGCAAGAGCAGGGCAUCCAGUAUGAUGUCAUCACUUUUAUUGAGGAGUAGAAACACGACACACACAUUAUUUAUUAACAACAUCAACACACACACACGGACAGACAGAAGAAUAUCUGAAGCUCAUCUCAGCUCCAAAUGAGCAUCACAAACUGCGCUGAUCAUAAGUAACACAAACUUCUUCCACAAUCAUCAGUCAUUUAUAAGGUGAAUGUACAGUUAGAUCCUCUCAAAAUAUGAUUUAUGCCUUUGUAAAUAUUGAAAGAAAUGUAUCUUUAGCCUUGAAAAAGAAAUAUGUAUAGAGAAUCCUGUAUUUAAGAAGAAUAAUGGACAUGUCUCUGUGGAUGCUGCUUUAAUGACAGUCUGUAUAUAACGGUAGGCUGGAGGAUUGACGUCAUAUUGCUAUGAAACAGUUCCUGGCUGUAGCUAAAAUUCUUACAAAGAAGGUUUUGAUCAUUUGCUGUUUCAUUUUUAGCUUCUUCAGUUUUACAGAUAUGUCUUUCUUUAAACAUGGCUACAGACCGGAACUUUAAAUGCAAACCAAAUAAGUCAAAUCCUCUUUAUCUGAUUCUAACACUGAUUUUCUUGCAUUAGUUGUGCUAUAAUAUUGUACAAUUCUGGUUUUACAAAGCUGUUGUCUGCUGCAUAUGAUUUAAUAAUAUUUAUACUCGUGUACAUAUUGAUUUUUGUUCCUAUUCAGUGCCUUAUGCAUGUAUUUUAAGUUGCGUCUGAAAGUUCAGAUCAGUUUUUAUCUUUGGUUUGUUUUGUACAUUCACAACCAAGAAUCCAUCAAACUUUUAUAAAUGAUGCUCUAUUUUAAAGCUACUAAGACAAAGACAUCUGAACUUCACUAUUCAGCUAGGGUCAUCUACAAUUAUACCUUUAAUUCAUUCAGAAGUCUUGAUGCUCAGCUGUCCUUCAGUGGUCACAUAACCUGCAUGAUUGUGCAAGCUUUGUUUUCUUUACACAAAAUUAGAAGGAUCAGACACUUUGUAACAGAGCAGGCUGCGUAACCUUUUGUCCAAGCACUUGUGAUUUGUAUAUUAGGCUACUGCAAUGUUCUCCAGGCUGAACUUCCAUCAUCUGCUGUGAAACCUCUUUAGAUGAUCUAAAAUGCUGCAGCUUGUCUGGUCUGAGCUCUAUUUAUCCCAAUAGAGUCCUCUACACACAUCAAUAUCACAGGAGGAUUGAGCUGGUUUUCUUUCUUCUUGUUCCACUGACGCAUGCCUCAAGAGACGUCAGCGGAGUAAAAUCAGCUGCUCUUUUACCAAAAUCCACCAUCAAACCUGCAGUCCGGAGCUCUUCUCCAUCUACAGCCUGUGUUUCAGACGAACCAGCUGAUCAAUCCAGGUAAAUCAAAUCACAAAUAUGACCACACUUCAUCCAUUUUACAACUCCAAAUCAUAAUAGAGAUUAAUCUGUCUGUGAAAACCAAAACAUGAAGCAGUGAUGGUUGAGCACAUCUCACACACUAGCUGCUGUUUAAAAUGCUCUGAUGUUUAGAAAUUGAAUUGAUAAUCUCUAAAUUAUUUAUCAAUCUGACAAACAUCUUAAACAAAGAUUAGAUUUACUUUGUACCUCAGUU